rnacentral:rRNA from 1 species
AGCAGCCGCGGUAAUUCCAGCUCCAAUAGCGUAUAUUAAAGUUGUUGCAGUUAAAAAGCUCGUAGUUGAAUUUCGGGGUUAGUAGGUUGGUCAUGCCUCUGGUAUGUACUGGUCUCACUGAUUCCUCCUUCCUGAUGAACCUUAAUGCCAUUUACUUGGUGUUUUGGGGAAUUUGGACUGUUACUUUGAAAAAAUUGGAGUGUUUAAAGCAAGCUAACGCUUGAAUACAUUAGCAUGGAAUAAUGAAAUAGGACGUUCGAUCCUAUUUUGUUGGUUUCUAGGAUUGACGUAAUGAUUAAUAGGGAUAGUUGGGGGCAUUAGUAUUCAAUUGUCAGAGGUGAAAUUCUUGGAUUUAUUGAAGACUAACUACUGCGAAAGCAUUUGCCAAGGAUGUUUUCAUUAAUCAAGAACGAAAGUUAGGGGAUCGAAGACGAUCAGAUACCGUCGUAGUCAUAACCAUAAACUAUGCCGACUAGGGAUCGGAUGAUGUUAAUUUUUUAAUGACUCA